UAAGAGCCUACCAAGGCUUCGAUCGGUAGCUGGUCUGAGAGGACAUCAGCCAUACUGGGAUUGAGAACGGCCCAGACUCCUACGGGGGGCAGCAAUGAGGAAUUUUCCGCAAUGGGCGAAAGCCUGACGGAGCAACGCCUCGUGCAGGAGGACGCUUUUCGGAGUGUAAACUGCUUUUCUGUGGGAAGAGCGAGGACGGUACCACAGGAAGAAGCCGCGGCUAACUACGUGCCAGCAGCCGCGGUAAUACGUAGGGGGCGAGCGUUGUCCGGAGUUACUGGGCGUAAAGGGCAUGCCGGCGGUCGUACUCGUUUUUGUGUGACAGCGGGUGGCUUAACUACCCGAGUAUGCGAAAGACGGUAUGACUUGAGGGCUCGAGAGGGACACAGAAUUCCUGGUGGGAGUGAUGAAAAUG
rnacentral:rRNA from 1 species